GAUGAACGCUGGCGGCGUGCCUAAUACAUGCAAGUCGAGCGAACGGACGAGAAGCUUGCUUCUCUGAUGUUAGCGGCGGACGGGUGAGUAACACGUGGAUAACCUACCUAUAAGACUGGGAUAACUUCGGGAAACCGGAGCUAAUACCGGAUGAUAUUUUGAACCGCAUGGUUCAAAAGUGAAAGACGGUCUUGCUGUCACUUAUAGAUGGAUCCGCGCUGCAUUAGCUAGUUGGUAAGGUAACGGCUUACCAAGGCAACGAUGCAUAGCCGACCUGAGAGGGUGAGCGCCCACACGAGAACAGACACGCGCCCAAGACCCCCGCGGGACGCAACAGGAGGAUAUCUCCCGAAGGGGGCGAACCCGAGAGGGCGAAACACCGUGAGAGAGAUAAGUGUUAGCGACUCGAAAAUCUCUGUUAUUGGAAAAGAAUAUAUGUAAAUGAACGUGAACACAUCGACACGAUACAUACACAGAACCGCACGGCUAACCAC
rnacentral:rRNA from 1 species